rnacentral:rRNA from 1 species
UACGUAGGGGGCGAGCGUUGUCCGGAAUUAUUGGGCGUAAAGAGCGUGUAGGCUGUUCGGUAAGUCUGCCGUGAAAACCUGAGGCUCAACCUCGGGCGUGCGGUGGAUACUGCCGGGCUAGAGGACGGUAGAGGCGAGUGGAAUUCCUGGUGUAGCGGUGAAAUGCGCAGAUAUCAGGAGGAACACCGGUGGCGAAGGCGGCAUCCUGGACCGGUAUUGACGCUGAGGCGCGAAAGCCAGGGGAGCAAACGGG